AAUGAUAGAGGUAACUUAAUGACCAGAUAAUGAUAGAGGUAACUAAUGACCAGAUAAAUGAUAGAGGUAACUAAUGACCAGAUAAAUGAUAGAGGUAACUAAUGACCAGAUAAUGAUAGAGGUAACUAAUGACCAGAUAAAUGAUAGAGGUAACUAAUGACCAGAUAAAUGAUAGAGGUAACUAAUGACCAGAUAAUUGAUAGAGGUAACUAAUGACCAGAUAAAUGAUAGAGGUAACUAAUGACCAGAUAAAUGAUAGAGGUAACUAAUGACCAGAUAAUGAUAGAGGUAACUAAUGACCAGAUAAUGAUAGAGGUAACUUAAUGACCAGAUAAAUGAUAGAGGUAACUAAUGACCAGAUAAAUGAUAGAAGUAACUUAAUGCAGAAGUUAUUCUUGGAAGACUAAAAACAGAAGUGAAUAAGGUCUGUUUGAAACUAUUUGUUAUCUUCUGUCUCCUCUCCUGACCAAGGCUGCAGUACCUCUUUCCCCUCCUCUCUCCCAAUACUCUUCCUUUAUCUC